UCCCAUUUGCGGGUGCUUAAACAUGCAAGUCGUACCAAUGUAGCCAUUCGGGGUGGAUCAGUGGCGAACGGGUGAGUAACACGUGGGCAAUCUGCCCUGCACUCUGGGACAAGCCCUGGAAACGGGGUCUAAUACCGGAUAUGACCUUCCUCCGCAUGGGGGUUGGUGUAAAGCUCCGGCGGUGCAGGAUGAGCCCGCGGCCUAUCAGCUUGUUGGUGGGGUAAUGGCCUACCAAGGCGACGACGGGUAGCCGGCCUGAGAGGGCGACCGGCCACACUGGGACUGAGACACGGCCCAGACUCCUACGGGAGGCAGCAGUGGGGAAUAUUGCACAAUGGGCGAAAGCCUGAUGCAGCGACGCCGCGUGAGGGAUGACGGCCUUCGGGUUGUAAACCUCUUUCAGCAGGGAAGAAGCGCAAGUGACGGUACCUGCAGAAGAAGCACCGGCUAACUACGUGCCAGCAGCCGCGGUAAUACGUAGGGUGCGAGCGUUGUCCGGAAUUAUUGGGCGUAAAGAGCUCGUAGGCGGCCUGUCACGUCGGAUGUGAAAGCCCGGGGCUUAACCCCGGGUCUGCAUUCGAUACGGGCAGGCUAGAGUGUGGUAGGGGAGAUCGGAAUUCCUGGUGUAGCGGUGAAAUGCGCAGAUAUCAGGAGGAACACCGGUGGCGAAGGCGGAUCUCUGGGCCAUUACUGACGCUGAGGAGCGAAAGCGUGGGGAGCGAACAGGAUUAGAUACCCUGGUAGUCCACGCCGUAAACGUUGGGAACUAGGUGUUGGCGACAUUCCACGUCGUCGGUGCCGCAGCUAACGCAUUAAGUUCCCCGCCUGGGGAGUACGGCCGCAAGGCUAAAACUCAAAGGAAUUGACGGGGCCCGCACAAGCAGCGGAGCAUGUGGCUUAAUUCGACGCAACGCGAGAACCUUACCAAGGCUUGACAUAUACCGGAAACGGCUAGAGAUAGUCGCCCCCUUGUGUCGUAUACAGUGGUGCAUGAUGUCGUCAGCUCGUGUCGUGAGAUGUUGGGUUAAGUCCCGCAACGA
rnacentral:rRNA from 1 species